UACGUAGGUGGCAAGCGUUGUCCGGAUUUAUUGGGUUUAAAGGGUGCGUAGGCGGCUUUGUAAGUCAGUGGUGAAAUAUGGCAGCUCAACUGUCAGGGUGCCAUUGAUACUGCGGAGCUUGAGUACAGAUGAGGUAGGCGGAAUUGACGGUGUAGCGGUGAAAUGCUUAGAUAUCGUCAAGAACACCGAUAGCGAAGGCAGCUUACUAGGCUGUAACUGACGCUGAGGCACGAAAAGUGUGGGGGAUCAAACAGG
rnacentral:rRNA from 1 species